rnacentral:rRNA from 1 species
CAUCGCCUCUAGAAAUAUAAAAUUAGAGGUCAUUCCUGCCCAGUGACAAAUAUUGUUUAACGGCCGCGGUACCCUGACCGUGCUAAGGUAGCAUAAUCAUUUGCCCUUUAAUUGGGGGCUAGUAUGAACGGAUUUUCGAAAGUAAAGCUGUCUCUCUUGAAGCCCUAAAAAUUAUCGUUUAGGUGAAGAGACCUAAAUAUUAUAAAAAGACGAAAAGACCCUAUGGAGCUUUACCUAACAAAAAGAGCCACGUAAAAUACCCUAUUCUUUUUUAAGGUUUAGUUGGGGCGACUAAGGAGCAAAACAAACCCUCCUUGAUUUACUAGGAUAAUAAUCCAUAUAUUAGAUCCACUAACGUGAAUAAAGAAUCAGCUACCCUAGGGAUAACAGGCUAAUCCUUCUUGAGAGCCCAAAUUGACAGAAGGGGUUGGCACCUCGAUGUUGGCUUAAAGUUCCUUCAAAGUGCAGCAGCUUUGAUAGUAGGUUUGUUCAACCUUUAAAACUUUACGUGAUCUGA